CGUGGCCUAGUGGUUAAGACGUCAGGUUGAUAAGCUGGUGGUCGCAGGUUUGAG
rnacentral:tRNA from 11 species